UCUCACAGAUUUCCAAUCUUCUUUCUCUCUCGCUACCACUUUCUCUCUUCUAUUUACUACUCUUUCCCUUUCUUACUAGCCACGCACCCUUCACCCCUCAAAGCACACGUGCCACCACAGAUUUUCCACCACCACGCUCCGUCUCUCUCUCAAAGCUACGUUUCCCCUUCCCGUCGGCCACCCCUACCAACGCUCGAUUCACCCCCAUCGAGCUUUCUCCCCUCCAAUGCCAUCCUUUCUCUCGCAAUCCAACCUCGCCACCGCCGCCUCUCACCGAUCUUUUCUCUCGUUUCAUCCCUUUCGAGUACACCCGAACCGAUCGUCGAUCUCCGUCUCGUCGGUGGUCGCGCUGUCUGUCGCCGACACCGUGCAGCGCGACCAGUUAGUCCGGUUGCCUACCUCGGGCGCUGUUGACAGCCACCCUUGUACGCGAGAAAAUUCUUCCCGAUGCCAGCCGCGUUACCACCACUGUCUCUUCCACGAUAGUGGCAAGAGAUAUCGCGAUAGUGGCCGUCUUCCUCCCACGAGAAACUGCCGAUAGAAUUUCAACGUGGUAUCGUUGUGUGUCGUUUCUAGAUAAAACAAUCUUAUAUUAUUUUUACCAGUGCACCGCGAAAAACGUGAAGUCGAGUAGUGAUCCGUUGGUAAACCGCGUACGUACGUGUUUGAGAGUCCAAGUGUUUGUUCGUUUCGUUAUGCGUUUAAGCUGUUGGUCCCGCUCGAUUGCCGAGCAGCUAGAACGGGAUCAAAAGUAAGGCUAAAUAGGAAGGGGAUAGGAACGGCGAGUUUAGAAGGUCGAGGGGAAGGAUGACGAAGCGGAGGACGAGUAACGUGGGAUCAUGGUGGUGAAUGAUAGUGGUGGAGAAGCAGUAAAACCAGAAGCAGUAAAAACGGAACGGCGGAAGCCAGUGCUUUUGGCAUGAACGAGAAGGAAAACAGUCUCGAUGAGGCUCGCGGUCGCGGCGAUGCUUAUAGACGUGACGUGACUGUCUCGCUGUACCAACGCUCGUACUGUUCACGCUUAAUCCUACUCGUGAUAUUAGUGAUUCUUAUGACGAUGUGCGUGCUCGAUUCACCAUGCUGUGUCACCGUGACAGCGUAACGCACGUUUAAAAAGAUACAGCGAAUGUUUUACCCUAGAAAGUAGAAUUCAAGGAGAUUGAACAAUGAAAUAAUGGAGUAGUGAUCUAGCGUUCUGGUCAGACAGUAACGAUAGAACGUAUUUGUCAGACGGACAAUUGUCCAAGCGGUUGCUUCGAACACUGUAAUCCGUAAUCAAACUGGUCCUAAUCAAUCUAUUAACACAGAGGCAACACAAUCCCCUAACCCAGUGAACAGAGACCGCUCGCUGUAAACUAUCGGCCGGGAAUCGUCACCGGCGAUUGCGAAAGAAUCGAUAGAAAGAGAGGAGCAAAAAGGAGAAGAAAGAAACGCGGCGGUCGAGGGAAGAAGAGAGAAAAGGGAGAUAUAUAGAACCUCUCCCGAUUGGCCGAGAAGUUACAAUAGACCGCUACCACUGUCGGGGGGCUCGCGUGACACGCGCCGUUUCUCACUCUGCACAUUUGCUCGUCCACCUCGACGCGGAGGAAGCUCUCCCGAUCUCGAUAAACACACACGCACACACACCAACACACACACAUACACUCACACGACACGUACACGCACACACGCCUCCCGCUUCCAUUCUCCACCCGGACGGUAUAAUCCUUAACGACGAGGACACGCGUACCAGGGAGGCACCGAUAGUAUGACGGUGAUGCUGCUGCAACGUUCAGUCACCCCGCAGUCGACGCACAGCCAAAAGACAGCGAACAAGGACUGCAACGCGAAGCCACCCUUCUUAUUCCUGCUCGACGACUGUCAAGAGCACAGCCACUCCAUUGACACUACCAUCACCACCACGACAACCAACAACAACAACAACAACAACAACAACAACAACAUUAACAUUAACAAUAACAAUAACAAUAAGAACGACGACAUACUUAAAGGAGGUAGCAGAAGAGACAGCAAUCGUUCGUGCGCCGCCGACGAGGCGGCGGCGUCGGUGACGUCCCAAAGACGCGCCGAGUGUGGCCAGGACGUCGCGAUGCGAUAUUACCGGCUCUGGAUCUACACCUGUAACUUGGUGCUGCUCGGUAGCGCGCUAGGCUUCGCGGCCGCGGUCUCACGAACGCUUUUAUUCACCGGUGAUCCACGCCGGUACGUGGUGCCUGGGGUGCCCCGUGCAUACGACCCGACAGCCCUCUACGCUUACCUGGCAUUGGCCACGCAGUUGGGCUUGGUGCAAUUGUUGGGUUGUAUAGCGGCGAGGAGAUUGAGCGCAAGACUUCUCAACGCCUACUGGGUCCUGCUUCUGGCGCUUCUUUUCGGCGACGCCGUGAUCGGGGUCGCCUGGGUCUUCCGGUUUGAGAGGAUGCGCGCCGAGCUCAGGCCUACUCUCAGGCAACGAUUGCAGAUGGAGUACGGGAAGGAUCUACGAUUCAGCGAGCAAUGGGACCGUUUGCAGAAGGAGUUCACCUGCUGCGGUGUGACCGGCCCCAAGGAUUUCGGUGGCCGAUGGCCGCUCACCUGUUGCGGACCAUCUGGCAACGUUAGCGACAGUUGUCAACCGUACGUGAGAGGAUGCGAGGAAUCGUUGAUACGAUGGCUACGAAAAACCGCUGACUUGCUGUUCGUUUUGGGCUUCUGCGUGAUAGCGUUCGCCAAAUUGUGUUUCCUCGGUAUACUGCGUUACGAGAUAAGGGAGAUGAUACAGAAGAUACGAUUGUUAAGGGAGCCACCGCCGCCGGCGACCACCCUCGCGCAACCACCAUUCUCUCAAGUGAUACCGGAAGCGACCAACAACGGGAGCAUCGUUCGACGCACCACUCUGCCUAACGCUGUCACCCCUUCCGGAAAUGCAUCGUUGUUGAUUCAAACGGAGGAAUGCAACACCGGAAGGCAUCCUUUGUUGGCGAACAAUUUGCAGGAUGGUGGGGCGGACAGCGACACGAACAGUCAUUGCGCGCUGAUCCUCGAGGAAACAACGCCUACCUCGGCCAACCAUAAUUGCGGUAACAGAGAGAAAAGCAAUGGCAACAACAAUUACGAAAUGCGAGAAUUCAACAGGAGGCUGUGGUUGUCGAACGGCGGCAGCCCGGGUACGGGUAUAACAGCCGGUGGUCAAAGCAGGCGCACCUGACUAUGGAAGUGGUGGCGAAACACGUCGAACCGUCUCCUCUACAGGAGCAAUCGGUCUGCCGAGAUCACCGUGUAUAAGAUAGGUCCACAAACCGGAGCUAAGGUUUCUAAAGAUUCUACUGACCUCACGAGCACACCAGCCCACAAUAAGCGAAUAACGUUCAAAGUUUUGCGCGUUGCAAGAAAAAUGUAUCGUUAAUCCUCGUAUAUUAUCGAAUAAAAUACGCUCUGGAUCCUGUUAGUCGACGAUAGAAAUUUAUUUACAAGAUGAAACUGUUUAGACUAGUGUUAUAAUUUUAUCCGUAUUCUCGGCUUCGUUUCUUCGAAGUCACCACGUAUUAAGUGGAAUUCACUAAAUAAAUGAGAUUUUAAAGAUACAUUUUCCUCGUGACAUCAUACAUAGUGCAAAGUCUGCAUGAUAAUGCUAUUCGAAGUGCUGAUGAACAAAAUAAAUUUCUUUUUUGCGUAACGACACAUAACGGACGAUGAAACGAGAAUCGACAUGAACAAAUUACAAGGAAGAACGAACUAAGAAAUCAAUGGGAUAAAACAAAAAAAAAGAAAAAGAAAAAAAAACAAACAAAAAUUAUGAAAAAGAGAAAAAAAGUGAAAAAGAAAGCAGAAGUGCGUCGAAGCUGCAUAAAAGGAAAGAAGAAGGUCUGUGAAUGCCUUUCGGUAUCCUUUCGAUUCUCUUUCUACGCGUAUUCCUUACAUGUCUUUCCGUCCUCGUACGGUCGGUGAACAAACAAAAAAAAAAAAAAGAAAAAAGAAGAAAAUAAUCAAUUACUUUUGUAGAUUUAUUUUUAGCAGUAAGUUUUCCUAUACGAAACUAUUUCUCUUUAAAUCGAACUAAAGAACGUUUCAAACACGUUAUAUACUAAUUUUUACCGCGCGAAUCAUGUGUAGUAUAUCACAAUAUGUAAAAUAUAACUAUCGUCGCUAUUACAUAAAUGCGAUAUCUUUCUGCUAUUUGGUUCCUAUUUUAAUUAAAAAAUUUUAACAUUAUCAUAUUUAUCGCGAAUUCAAUUAAUAGAAAUUAUGCUCCAAUUUUCACUGUUUCCAAUAUAAAAAUUGAAAUACAAUUCAAUAAAACAUAUAAAAAAACGACAAAAAUUGUUUAGUUAUUCGAACACGAUUGGAUUAAAUCACGAGAAAUAGAGUAUAAUAUAUUGCUUGUGACCAAAUUUUUUUAUCAUAAAUUACGAUAACAAUGAAAUGUGUGAAAGGUUAAUCGGUUUUUAUCAUGUGAAUGUUUUUUUAAUUUAUUUCAUUCUCGAGAAUUAAAAUGCGAUAGUUAUCGGAGAAUAUUCUGGGAUACUACUGUCAAAUUUAUUCUUCUUCUGCAAAAAUAUGAUUAUAAAAAAAAAAGAAAGGAAAAAAAGAAAUAGAAAAUCUGUCUUGUUUCGAUGAUCUACGUAUAUUAAUGAUUUUAUAUACAUAUAUAUAUAUAUAUAUAAUUAUAUAUAAAAAGUAUAUAUAUUUAUAUGUAUAUAUAUAUAAAAAAAAAGAAAAAAGAAAAAAAAAGAAAAAAAAACACAUAUGUAUAUAUGUAGUAGAUAUAUAUGUGUUUUUAUAUACACAAAAAGACAAACACACAAGUCACCGCAUAAGAGUAACGACUAUAAAUUCCUAGUUCUUUUUAUAUAAAACGAUACAUGCAGCGCGAGUAGUCUGUAUUGAUUUGUGCAGUAAGUCGUAUAAAUAUAAUACGAUACUCAAAGUAAUUGGCUUCCUAGCUAGGAUUAAUCGAAUCUUAGGGAUUAUAUACGUUUAUGAAUGCAAAGAUAAUGAAUAUACGUAUUAGUAGAACUGUAUAUAGCGAUGUAUGGUAGUCAAAUACUAAGUAUCGAUUGUCUGUUUAAGAAAAAAGCCAGAAUUCACAUGAUUCAAUGUCGAAAUAUCGUUUCGUUUACUUUUGCAUAGAAUAACGAGAAUAUUAAUUAAAUCAUGAGAUUAUACGAGUUAACACGAUUCAUCAUUAAACUUCAGAUUUUAUAUUUUAUCUUUUUCAUAAUUAUAUCAGUCUGGAAAACAGGGUAUUCUCUAGUAUGUUAUAAAGCAUAGAUUACUAUCAAAGAAAUCAUUAUUACAUUCAUUAACGCCAAUGAGAUGCCAUUUUUCAAUACAUAUGUUCCUUUUUUUAGUUCAUAUCAUAAUUUUUAAUCAUUAUAAAAAAAAAAAAAAAAAAAGAUAAAAAUUGCAUUUCAAGGAUUCUUUCUUAAUCAGACUAUCGAUAUUAUCGUUGAAUGUACUAAGCUACAAUAAUAAUAUAAAAGCUUACACCUCGCAGACAUACAGCCUCUGCCACUAAAUGUAUAUAAGGAUAUAUUAUAUGUAAAACAAAUAAUAGAUAGUGUUAAUUGAUUUUUAAAUUGAUCAUUUAGAAAGAGGCAAAUAUGUUACUGCAAGCCGCCCAGAAGUGAAGAUCUACACGCUACUUUUAAUUAGAAUAAGCUUUAAAACUUUUAACUAAAAAGGGACGAUAUUAUUUUUCAUGUUUUAAUUCGUUCCUUUGAUUCGUUCAAUCGUCAAAUAGUUAAAUUAAAAAAGUUCAUAUCUCUAUGUUUUAGUCAUACAAUGUAUCCCGACAACAAUGAAUUAUGAUCCCAUAAGAAAGGUUUUAAAAAAGUUUAACAUGUGUAGUAAUUUAUAUCUGAUGUUUAAAUGUAAUAUGUAUAUUGAGAAGAAUGAAAGAGAGGGAGCUUUGAAUAGUGCCUGCUUAAGAAAUCCAAUUUACUGUAUCUGUAAAUGGUUAGUUAUGAUAUGUACGUUAUUUCGUACACGGUAAACCCAAUAGGAUUACUAUAGCCAAGUAUGGGAAAAAGUGUAAAUAUAGAAUCAGUUCAUUAGUUUUAUAAUUGUGCAUAUUAUUAUACAAAAUGGAAAACGCUUAUAUCUUCAAAUAGAUUUUUUUUUCAAUUUUUUGGAAAAAUUCUUAUAAAUACGUUUUAAAUUGAUACAUUAAGAAUAUAUAUUUAAACAAUUCAAAGAAAUUUAAUUUAAAAAAAAUAUUCCUUUUCAAAAUGUUCUAUCUUAUAUUUUUCUUAUAUAUACUGCAUAAUUUUUUAACUUUUACUUUAAUCAUGUUUUAUAAUUUUAGUGAUUCAUGCUAUUAUAUCAUAUCACUCUUCCCCAUACUAUAUUAUAAGUUCAUGUUAUUCAAUAUUCUUAAAUGUACAUAAAACUUAUGUGGUCGUAAUUGUAUGUAAAUACUGUUAAACGUUCUAUAACUUCUCUGAUAUAUGAAUAUAAGAAAAAUUGGUUAUUUAGUAUAA